GCUUAUAAAGUCCGGUUAGACAAAGACACAAUAAAUGUGGAGUAUAUAUGAGUAAAUAUCAAUUUACCAAAAAACUCAAGAUGGCGUCGUCAGCAGAUGCCGGUUUAACACACGAUUCGUAGCUUUCCAAGUGAAAUAUGAAAGUUUUAAUGUUCAGGUAACAUGAACGAUUGUUUUGGAGUAGAGGUGGUGUUAAUAAAACAAUGUGUAUAUAAAAUGGUAUGACUAAAACAGUAAAAUAACACAG
rnacentral:lncRNA from 1 species